CACUGGAUAACAGUCAAGAAUAUUCUCAUAUAUUUGAGAAAUACUAAGGAUAAAUUCUUGGUCUAUGGAGGAAUUUAUGAGCUUGUUGUAAAUGGUUACAGCGAUGCCAAUUUUUCAAAAUGACAAAGGUGAUUUUCGAUCACGAGUUGGUUUCAUCUUUUGUCUUAAUGGAGAGUGGUGGGUUGGAAGAGUUCCAAGCAAAGCAUGAUAGUAUAGUCUCAAUGGAUGCAAAUGUUGUUGAUCCAUUGACCAAGCCUCUUCCAUGGUCUAAGUAUGAGAGUCAUACUGCAGCCAUGGGUAUUAAGUAUCUUAAGAUGUGAUCUUGAUUUUAGUGGGAGACUUUAUGUUUAUGAUAUGAUGUUCAUAUUGACAUACAUUUGAUUAUGUAUUCAAACAAAUGAAAUUGUUUCAGAUUUAUUUGAUUAUUGGAUAAUUAAAUAAAUGUCCCAAAAUAAUUUAUAUCAUUCUUUUAGGUCAUCAAGUAUGUGACUUGAUCAUGAAACUCUAUAAGUGAAAGAUGCUAUAAAUUAUUGAGGUCCCUAGUCAAGUUUGUUAACGUGGGACAUUAAUAACCAUGAAUGGCUAGUAUGUGAGGUGAUUGAUGACUAAGUUUCAUGUAGUCAUUCAAUAUGUGGUAUUGAAGUCAAUCACAUGGAUAUGUGUUAGAGAACACAUGAUCGGACUGACCCGCUAUGAGAACUCUACAAGAUUGUUAUAUGAGUGUCAUGAGAGUUUCUCAUUACGACUAUAGAGUAUAGUCCUUAGACCUGAGUUCGUCAUGAUUCUUUAUUUAUGGAUUAGUUCACUUUGACCUUGUCAAACGUCAGCCGUAACUGGUGAUUAUAAAGGCAUUGAUUAGGUGUUCUAUGAAGUUUGUUAAGGAACAUGGAUGGAACAAGAUGGGAUUUGUCCCUCCUAUAUAACGGGAGAUAUAUAUAUUUCUGGGCCUAUCGAAGAUUUGAUACUGAAAAAUGCAUGGCCGUGCUCAAACGAGGUGAUUGUCAGUCGUUUGUUUUAUCAGUAUAAAUCAGAGUUCGAUAAACGUGAUCUAGCUUAAUAAGGAUGACACAAGUUCUUGCCUUAUGCUGAGAUCGAUAUAUAGAGACAAAGGGAUUAUGAGAAUAGAUGAUUCUAUUACAAGUGGGAGAUUGUUGGGAAUGUCCUAAAAUCAUUUGUACUUACUCUAGUUAUAGUCGUAACGUCGAGAUGCCACAGUCGUAUAAUAUUAGGUGGUUAUAAUGUUUUGCUAGAAACCACUUAUAAUCUAUGAAUUGAGAAUUCAUUGUUAAUAUUAUAUGAUCCUAUAGGGUCACACACCUAAGCAAACUAGAUCAAUAAUAUUUUAGGUUUAAAGUAAUAUGAUAUGUACAAUAUAAAAUGUUAUAUGUAUAUAUGCAUAUGUGUUAUGCUCGUUUGCAAUUAUACGAGAAGAAUGAUUAAUGUAAUCUCUUCAUAGAUUGGGCUAAGCCCAUUAACCUUUAAUUAUUGUACGUGUAUUAUAAAAGGCACAAGGUGUUGUGUUAAUAAGGUGCAGAGACAUAAGCCGUAACCUAAAAGAAAGAUAAUUAGAGACGAACCGUUCGUUGUCAAGUUCUUGCGGCACUAGCAUCCCGUAUCGAUCUAGUUUGUGUGCGUGUGGAUACCGAUAGAGGCACAACGUUUGGAGUGCUUGAAAUCUCGAUUUGGUUUAUUCAUCUUUCCGCUGCAAAUAACCAGGUAUAUUGACGGGAUGUGGUAGCUCGUUUGGUAAGGACCUUGGGGGCCAAUUGUCAUGCUCCCGGGUUCGACGCCAGACGGAGGGGAACUGCCCAUCUUGUCAUCAAAUGCGGUACUGGGUGUUGGGCCUUGUCCCCAGCCCAGGUAUAGCCCUCCCGGGUGAAGUGGACCGCUGCCUAACCGGGCCCAGGGAAUGACCCACGUAAGUGGGGAACCCUGGAUUAUCAAAAAAAAAUAAAAAUAAAUAAAUAACCAGGUAUAUUCGGAACCCUAUGAUCUAGAUUCAUUUCAGUAUUUGCAUGAGAUCUAGGCAAACUAAAUUUAUAGGUUGAUUUAUAAAUUGUUAUAAACCGGUAUGAAUUCCAACAGGGAAUGCUUCUGCUGACCUCGCUUCCUUUGAUAGACGAAUACGUCCACUGUUUCUCUAUACUUAUGUAUCACAAACAAUGUUGAUGUAUCAAACAAAUAAUCCGUCCUCUCAGUUGCAGGAAAACUGUUGGGAAGCUUUUUAGGGAAGUGUUCUGGAAGCAUAAGAUCUGUGGUUAGACAUCCACAGCAUCAAAUGAUAGCUCCUUGCGGUAAGAAGAUGCAUCGUAUUGUCCACAUAUAAACUUUAAAACCAUAUGCAUGCGUUUCAACAAAUCUCAUUUGUGUGUUGUUUUAUUAAAACUGUUCAGGAUUGGACCAUAUUUACGGUAAUGUGACGUGAAGACACAGCAGCUUAUCUCUGUGGUUUUCUUGAAUCAGCAUCGUACAGGUCUUGUAUUUGACCCAGGCUUUAGUGGAGAAGGUUAAUUUUCUUUUUGCUGUUUACAUAUGACAUAUAUUUUGUAUUCCUAAGUUAGUAUAUGAUUGGUUUAUGGUCGAAGUAGAGUAGUUGUAGUAAACACAAUGGUUGAGGCUGAAACAGAGAAGAAGAUGGCGAUCCUAGAAGAUGAUGAGGAAGAGGAUGAAGGUGAAACAGAUGAGGCUCAUGUGAAGAAAAAGAAGUCAAAGAAAGAGACCAGUAGAGUUUUUUUUUUUGUUAAAUUUAGAGACGCAGUAGAGUACGUUUUUGAAAUGAUGCAACUAAUCGGAAAUAAGACUUGUUUGAAUCUUCAAUCUUGCAUUGGAAACUUUUUGAAUGAUCCAUAUUUGUUCUCAAACGAAAAGCACAAAACAUGGGAAAUAAGAAGAGCAACAACUCAACAAAGCUACUGUUAUUUUGGUUAGUUAAAAAUCUUUUGAGUUUGCUUGAUAUAUUUAUCUAUGUCUAGAUCUUAGAUUGACAACUAGGGGUACUUAUUUUGUGGCUUAAAAGUAUGAACAAGGUAUGGAGAAAACAAAGAUUAGUAAUCUGAUUUUCUUAUAUAAAUAUGUAGUAUAAGAUGUUGGGUAGAUAUGAAAAAAGUCGGUUUAUCCAUCCAUCUCAUCUUUGCUAUCUACUUAGAGUACAUUUCAUUCUCUCUUUUUACAGCAAACUUUUCUACUUAUUACUUAUUUUACCAGAAAAACAGAAGAAUUAUAUACUUAUUAACGAUAUAUUAUGAGUAUGUAGAAGAUUCUCAACAGAUUCUCGAAUACUCGUUCUAUCCAAGGAAAUUUUGUUCUGGUUGUUUUUCUGUUUUUAAAACCGGACCGGCUAACGAACCGAAAAUAUUCUGAUUCAUCGAUUGUUGUGAUUUGAUAGGUUCGAACGGGGUUCAAUCGGAUUUGAUUGGAUUAAACUGUUAAUGAUAUCAAUUUUUUUGUCUUCUCUAUCAUGGACUCCUACACAAUUUCAGAAUCCAAAAUUAGAAUCAGGUUGAUGAGAUUAUAUAUCUAUCGGAUCAAAUAUUAAUAUACAUCACGGUUUUACGGAUAUGAACAAACUUUUUAUCGUUAUUUAGAUUUUUUAAUUUGCGUAUCUGUUUGUCCAUGUACGUAUAUGAGUAUUAAUUUCUCAAAAUAUUUAAGUGUAAGAGAACAGAACAGCAGAAAUUUUUUCAAAGACUUUUAUGAGUAUGUGAUAUUUUUGAAGUUUGUUCGUCUGGGUUAUAACAAUUGUUUGGUGGUAGCUAUAUGAGUUUAUAGAAGACUAUAGGUAUAUAAAUGUAUAUUUGGUCUGUGUUGUGGAAAUCAUGUAACUAAUUUUACACUUAGCAUAUUAACGUUCUAAUAUUUUUUUACAGAAUAUAAAAGUUCUGUUUUAUCUUUCAUCAAUUUGUUUUAUAUAGAAACUAGUGAUAUUCCGGCGCUACGCGCCGGGUUCGUAUGUUUUAUUCUUACAUGAAUUUACAAUUCAUUUUAUGGUCUUAUUAAAGAAAUUAUGUUCAAAAAUAUGAUAAUGAAAAUAUGUUAAAAGAAAUGAUAUUUUUUCCGGAUUCAUUUGAUAGUGGUUAGCGAUCUAGUGUAUUACUUUGUUUUGAAGUUACUUAUUUCAAAGUGGAAUAGCAUAAGUAGUUGUGACUAAUCGAUUCAAUAACACAGUAGAAUCAAAACCCGAUAAUCGUAACAAAGUUUAUUUAGUUGGAAUUUAAACAUAAGGUAAAGUUGAUGUUUUAUUUAGAUAACAUAUUUAUACUGUUAAGUACCAUGUGGACAACAUAUAGAAAGAACGUCAUUUGAAAUUUUAUUUUAAAGACUAAUCUGAAUUUAAACAUGUGUAAUGAAGUUUUGUUCAUAUAUUCUUCUUAUUUUUAUAUAUAAGAAUUAUGGAUUGUCGUUUAUUUUUAGAAUCAAGGAUUGUUGUUUAUUUUUAGAAUUAAUCGUUUUACAAUUUUUUAUAUUCUAAAGUAGUUUUUUUUCAAUUGUCUGUCAAAUAUUUGCUCAUACAUUGUCCAUUAUAAUUAUUGUAAUCUUCUGGGGUAUGUUUAUUUGAUUUAUGGGAACUUAACCUCAUCAUCUUAUGCGGUUAGUAAUUUUUCUCAACAAUAAAGUUGAAGUGGGACAAUGUGUUUUUUGUCUAAGCAUUUCUAUUUUAUUUAUUGUGGAUUUAGGCUUCAUGAAAUAUAAUGGGUGGCAUUUGUUUAGUUUAAAUGGUUGGUUGUAUGUUUGGUUUGGUUCAUUAAUUCU